GAUGAACGCUAGCGGCAGGCCUAAUACAUGCAAGUCGAGGGGUAGAGAGAGCUUGCUCUCUUGAGACCGGAGCACGGGUGCGUAACGCGUAUGCAACCUACCUCUAUCUGGGGGAUAGCCCGAAGAAAUUCGGAUUAACACCGCAUAAAAUCACAGAACGGCAUCGUUCAAUGAUCAAAUAUUUAUAGGAUGGAGAUGGGCAUGCGUGUCAUUAGUUAGUUGGCGGGGUAACGGCCCACCAAGACCGCGAUGACUAGGGGAUCUGAGAGGAUGGCCCCCCACACUGGUACGGAGACACGGACCAGACUCCUACGGGAGGCAGCAGUAAGGAAUAUUGGUCAAUGGAGGCAACUCUGAACCAGCCAUGCCGCGUGCAGGAAGACAGCCCUCUGGGUCGUAAACUGCUUUUAUUCGGGAAUAAACCUGCUUACGUGUAAGUAGCUGAAUGUACCGAAGGAAUAAGGAUCGGCUAACUCCGUGCCAGCAGCCGCCGUAAAAC
rnacentral:rRNA from 1 species